rnacentral:rRNA from 1 species
UACGGAGGGGGCGAGUGUUGUUCGGAAUUACUGGGCGUAAAGGGCGCGCAGGCGGCCUGGCAAGUCGAGUGUGAAAUCCCUUGGCUUAACUGAGGAAUGGCGCUCGAAACUACCUCGCUGGAGGGCGGGAGAGGGAAGUGGAACUCUCGGUGUAGGGGUGAAAUGCGCAGAUAUCGGGAGGAACACCUAUGGCGAAGGCAGCUCGCUGGGACGUUACUGACGCUGAGACGCGAAAGCGUGGGGAGCAAACAGG